GGGGGCGAACCAGCUUCGACGUGGAGCAGAUCCGUCCCGAUGUGGCGAGUCGAGGACUCCGGGUUGGCCUCGUUAAAUGCUCCCGGAAACCAAUAAGUGCGGACUCUAAGAACCACGAGUUCGCCUUCGCCGCUUAGAUAGGCGAAGGAGUCGCGCCGGGCAGCCCGCGGCCCGGAGACGCGGCUUCAGAUAGCGGGCUCACCCCGGCGACAGGACCCUCGGUCGCCGGGGGACACCUCUAGGAGGGUAUGGCUCCGGGAACGUGCCCCGCGGAUGGACCGCACCGGACGCCGAGACAAAGACUCCGCGGGAACGCUCGUAGCACGCAUCGGGAAGGUGUUCCGCGGACGCCGGGGCAGUACCGGCCGCCUCCACUC
rnacentral:tmRNA from 1 species